UACGUAGGGGGCGAGCGUUGUCCGGAUUUACUGGGCGUAAAGCGCGUGUAGGCGGCUGCUUAAGUCGGGUGUGAAAGCCCGGGGCUCAACCCCGGGAUGCCGCCCGAGACUGGGCGGCUUGAGGUCGGAAGAGGGGAGUGGAAUUCCAGGUGUAGCGGUGAAAUGCGCAGAUAUCAGGAAGAACACCCGUGGCGAAAGCGGCUCUCUGGAACGGUACUGACGCUGAGACGCGAAAGCGUGGGGAGCGAACAGG
rnacentral:rRNA from 1 species